UAGGGAAUUUUGCGCAGUGGACGAAAGUCUGACGCAGCAACGCCGUGUGAGCGAUGAAGGUCUUCGGAUCGUAAAGCUCUGUCAGGAGGGAAGAACCUGUCCGAUUCAUACCCGGGCACUGACGGUACCUCCAGAGGAAGCUCCGGCUAACUUCGUGCCAGCAGCCGCGGUAAUACGAGGGGAGCGAGUGUUGUUCGGAUUUAUUGGGCGUAAAGGGAGUGUAGGCGGGAGUCUAAGUCGGAGGUGUAAUUUCGGGGCUCAACCCCGAACGUGCCUUUGAGACUGGAUUUCUUGAGUAUGGGAGAGGGCGAUGGAAUUCCUGGUGUAGCGGUGGAAUGCGUAGAUAUCAGGAGGAACACCUAUAGCGAAGGCAGUCGCCUGGAACAAUACUGACGCUGAAACUCGAAAGCAUGGGGAGCAAACAGG
rnacentral:rRNA from 1 species